rnacentral:rRNA from 1 species
UCGGCUUGGGAUGGGCUCGCGGCCUAUCAGCUUGUUGGUGGGGUGAUGGCCUACCAAGGCUUCGACGGGUAGCCGGCCUGAGAGGGCGACCGGCCACACUGGGACUGAGACACGGCCCAG